CAACUUUUAACAACGGAUCUCUUGGUUCUCGCAUCGAUGAAGAACGUAGCAAAGUGCGAUAACUAUGUGAAUUGCAUAUUCAGUGAAUCAUCGAGUCUUUGAACGCAUCUUGCACCUGCUGGUAUUCCAGCAGGUACGCCUGUUUCAGUAUCA
rnacentral:rRNA from 1 species